rnacentral:rRNA from 1 species
UCAGGAUGAACGCUAGCCGGCAGGCCUAUCACAUGCAAGUCGAGGGGUAACAGGGAGCUUGCUCCGCUGACGACCGGCGUACGGGUGCGUAACGCGUAUACAAUCUACCUUUUGCUACGGGAUAGCCCAGAGAAAUUUGGAUUAAUACCGCAUAGUAUAUUGAGAUCGCAUGGUUUUAAUAUUAAAGGUUACGGCAGAAGAUGAGUAUGCGUUCUAUUAGCUAGAUGGUGUGGUAACGGCACACCAUGGCAACGAUAGAUAGGGGCCCUGAGAGGGGGAUCCCCCACACUGGUACUGAGACACGGACCAGACUCCUACUGGAGGCAGCAGUGAGGAAUAUUGGACAAUGGGCGAGAGCCUGAUCCAGCCAUGCCGCGUGCAGGAAGACGGCCCUAUGGGUUGUAAAMUGCUUUUAUACAGGAAGAAACACCUCUACGUGUAGAGGCUUGACGGUACUGUAAGAAUAAGGAUCGGCUAACUCCGUGCCAGCAGCCGCGGUAAUACGGAGGAUCCAAGCGUUAUCCGGAAUCAUUGGGUUUAAAGGGUCCGUAGGUGGAUAAUUAAGUCAGGGGUGAAAGUCUGCAGCUCAACUGUAGAAUUGCCCUUGAUACUGGUUGUCUUGAGUCAUUAUGAAGUAGUUAGAAUAUGUAGUGUAGCGGUGAAAUGCAUAGAUAUUACAUAGAAUACCAAUUGCGAAGGCAGAUUACUAAUAAUGUACUGACACUGAUGGACGAAAGCGUGGGGAGCGAACAGGAUUAGAUACCCUGGUAGUCCACGCCGUAAACGAUGGAUACUAGCUGUUCGGAUUUAUCUGAGUGGCUAAGCGAAAGUGAUAA